UACCAGACUCCUACGGGAGGCAGCAGUGGGGGAUAUUGCACAAUGGGGGGAACCCUGAUGCAGCGACGCCGCGUGGGUGAAGAAGCGCCUCGGCGCGUAAAGCCCUGUCAGCAGGGAAGAAAAUGACGGUACCUGAAGAAGAAGCCCCGGCUAACUACGUGCCAGCAGCCGCGGUAAUACGUAGGGGGCAAGCGUUAUCCGGAUUUACUGGGUGUAAAGGGGGCGCAGACGGCGAUGCAAGCCAGGAGUGAAAGCCCGGGGCCCAACCCCGGGACUGCAUUUGGAACUGUGUAGCUGGAGUGUCGGAGAGGCAGGCGGAAUUCCUAGUGUAGCGGUGAAAUGCGUAGAUAUUAGGAGGAACACCAGUGGCGAAGGCGGCCUGCUGGACGAUGACUGACGUUGAGGCUCGAAAGCGUGGGGAGCAAACAGGAUUAGAUACCCCAGUACAA
rnacentral:rRNA from 1 species